GCCCCCGACGCGCAGACGUCACGCCCCGACUCCCCGUCCCCUGCUCGCCUGCGCCCUCCGCCGCUCGUGACGGCCGCCGAUGAAUCCGCCGCUCGCCCGUGCCCUCCGGCCUACGCUGCUCGUGACGACCGCUGGUGACUCCGCCGCUCAUCCGCCUGGCCUGCUCCGCUGCUCGCGCCGUCGCCCGUCCCGCCGUCCGGCCGUCCCCUGCUCGCCUGCUGCCCUACUCCGCCGCUCGCGCAGCCCAGCUCGCCGUCUCGCCCGAUCUGCUGGCUCCUGCUCUCCGCCACGCGCAGGACUGCUCUCUGCUGCCGGAUGUAAAUAAAAGAUGACGAGAUAUUUUUCAUUGUGGCCGCAACAGAAGUGUCUACACCCGGAGUUUUAGCAGGGAUUCAAGGGGCCAAGAGGACUGAAGCAACUCCAGAAAAUGAAACAACUGCAGAAAUGGGACCACCGCCUUCAAUCUCAACUUGAGAAAGCAACUGAUGAAGCAAGCCAUUGAUUUGCUUGAGAUGAGCGAACAAAAGCGAUGUAGAGGAGGUGACCCAUGCGUUGUUGCCUCCAGGGCAGAGAAGCCAACGACGGGGAAGAAGAGGGACAUGGGCGGACGUCCUGUGGUUGCCGAUGAUGCGUCCCCUCCUCGCCUGCGCCGGCGCUGCUCCUCCUGGCGUGGUCAUCAUCAUCGCCGCUCGUUGCGGAGAUGCAUAGGAAAUAUUCGACGAAAUGUAUGAAUCAAAUGUAAAUUUUAGGGAGUUAAGUUUAAAGAUU